rnacentral:rRNA from 1 species
CCCGCCGGCGACCGGCGCACGGGUGAGUAACACGUAUGGAACCUGCCCGCAGCAGGGGGAUAAGCGGAAGAAAUUCCGUCUAAUACCGCGUAACACCGCGGAGGGGCAUCCCUCGGCGGUUAAAGAUUCAUCGGCUGCGGAUGGCCAUGCGGCGCAUUAGCUAGUCGGCGGGGUAACGGCCCACCGUGGCGACGAUGCGUAGGGGUUCUGAGAGGAAGGUCCCCCACACUGGUACUGAGACACGGACCAGACUCCUACGGGAGGCAGCAG